GACGAACGCUGGCGGCGUGCUUAACACAUGCAAGUCGAACGAUGAUCAGGAGCUUGCUCCUGUGAUUAGUGGCGAACGGGUGAGUAACACGUGAGUAACCUGCCCCUGACUCUGGGAUAAGCGUUGGAAACGACGUCUAAUACUGGAUACGACUGCCGGCCGCAUGGUCUGGUGGUGGAAAGAUUUUUUGGUUGGGGAUGGACUCGCGGCCUAUCAGCUUGUUGGUGAGGUAAUGGCUCACCAAGGCGACGACGGGUAGCCGGCCUGAGAGGGUAACCGGCCACACUGGGACUGAGACACGCCCCAGACUCCUACGGGAGGCAGCAGUGGGGAAUAUUGCACAAUGGGCGAAAGCCUGAUGCAGCAACGCCGCGUGAGGGAUGACGGCCUUCGGGUUGUAAACCUCUUUUAGUAGGGAAGAAGCGAAAGUGACGGUACCUGCAGAAAAAGCACCGGCUAACUACGUGCCAGCCGCCGCAGUAA
rnacentral:rRNA from 1 species